UUUUCCUUGCUGUUAGAAGAUUGUG
rnacentral:piRNA from 1 species